rnacentral:tRNA from 1 species
CAGAGCAUGGUGUAAUUGGUAACACAUUAGCUUUGGGAGUUAAAGAUUAGAGGUUCAAGCCCUUUUGCUCUGA